rnacentral:misc_RNA from 1 species
GAAAUGCGAUAAGUAGUGUGAAUUGCAGAAUUCAGUGAAUCAUCGAAUCUUUGAACGCACAUUGCGCCCCUUGGUAUUCCAUGGGGCAUGCCUGUUCGAGCGUCAUUUGUACCCUCAAGCUAUGCUUGGUGUUGGGUGAUUGUCCACUAGGACUCGCCUCAAAGUCAUUGGCAGCCAGUAUUUUGGUAUAAAGCGCAGCACAUUUUGCGAUUUACUCCAGUAAUAUUAGCAUCCAUUAAGCUCAAUUAUCACUUUUGACCUCGGAUCAGGUAGGGAUACCCGCUGAACUUAA